GUGGGGAAUUUUGGACAAUGGGCGCAAGCCUGAUCCAGCAAUGCCGCGUGCAGGAAGAAGGCCUUCGGGUUGUAAACUGCUUUUGUACGGAACGAAACGGUCCGGGUUAAUACCCUGGGCUAAUGACGGUACCGUAAGAAUAAGCACCGACUAACUACGUGCCAGCAGCCGCGGUAAUACGUAGGGUGCAAGCGUUAAUCGGAAUUACUGGGCGUAAAGCGUGCGCAGGCGGUUUUGUAAGACAGGCGUGAAAUCCCCGGGCUCAACCUGGGAAUUGCGCUUGUGACUGCAAGGCUGGAGUGCGGCAGAGGGGGAUGGAAUUCCGCGUGUAGCAGUGAAAUGCGUAGAUAUGCGGAGGAACACCGAUGGCGAAGGCAAUCCCCUGGGCCUGCACUGACGCUCAUGCACGAAAGCGUGGGGAGCAAACAGGAUUAGAUACCCCGGUAGUCC
rnacentral:rRNA from 1 species